AAGUCGUAACAAGGUUUCCGUAGGUGAACCUGCGGAAGGAUCAUUACUGAAUAAAAGGUUUGGUUUGAGGUUGUCGCUGGCAUCCUAGGAUGCAUUUGCACACCCCUUGCCAUUUCAUCGUUCACCUUUUUCCACCUGUGCAUUCUCAUGUAGGCCAGAUAGCUGCCAGUAGCGAUCUCCUCGAGAGAUGCUUCUUUGGACUUGCUGUUGCAGAUCCACAUUUGUGACAGCUCCUCCUAAAGUUGGCACAAUCUGGUCUAUGCAUUUUAUCAAACCCUCCUCUCUUAUUUUUAUGUGUCUGAUAUUUUAUGGGCUUAUCAAAGCAUGUAUGUACAACUUUCAACAACGGAUCUCUUGGCUCUC
rnacentral:misc_RNA from 1 species